ACUAAGGCAGGGGGCCAUGAGUUCAAGUUUAGCCUGGACAAUGUAGCAAGUUCAAGAUCAGCCUGGUCCACAUGGGACUCUUCUGGGGACUCAAGAAAGAGCAAUGAACAGGACAGAUUGGUUCUUGCAUGCUAAUCACAGGAGGUGGUGAUGAACAUGUACAAGAGGCUACGGAGCAGCUAGCCCCUUCCUUCAGUGCCUUUGUAGAUCAUGUUUUAAAACCUUCCACGUCUGGCGUUGGGAACGCGGUAGCGGCUUGGUGCUGGAUAGCAGGAGGCAAAGGCCACAGCAGAACUUCCAGGCCACUGGCUCAGCCCUGUGGGAGGGACUUUGAGCAGAUUCCAGGACCUGAGCUAUCCGUCUCCUCAAAGUGGGACAAGUCCAACCCUUGGCUUUUCAGCCAGCUCCCCAAAGCUACUCUGGGCAGUGGGCUGUUGAAUGAUCUCGCUUCCAGAGCCACCCU